ACGAUACAGUGGCAGACGGGUGAGUAACGCGUGGGAACGUACCUUUCACUACGGAAUAGCUCUGGGAAACUGGUGGUAAUACCGUAUACGCCCUCCGGGGGAAAGAUUUAUCGGUGAAAGAUCGGCCCGCGUUGGAUUAGCUAGUUGGUGAGGUAAUGGCUCACCAAGGCGACGAUCCAUAGCUGGUCUGAGAGGAUGAUCAGCCACAUUGGGACUGAGACACGGCCCAAACUCCUACGGGAGGCAGCAGUGGGGAAUCUUGCACAAUGGGCGAAAGCCUGAUGCAGCCAUGCCGCGUGAAUGAUGAAGGCCUUAGGGUUGUAAAAUUCUUUCGUCAGGGAUGAUAAUGACCGUACCUGAAGAAGAAGCCCCGGCUAACUUCGUGCCAGCAGCCGCGGUAAUACGAAGGGGGCUAGCGUUGUUCGGAAUUACUGGGCGUAAAGCGCACGUAGGCGGAUUUUUAAGUCAGGUGUGAAAUCCCGGGGCUCAACCUCGGAACUGCAUUUGAGACUGGAAGUCUUGAGACCAGGAGAGGUUAGCGGAAUACCGAGUGUAGAGGUGAAAUUCGUAGAUAUUCGGUGGAACACCAGUGGCGAACGCGGCUAACUGGACUGCUACUGACGCUGAGUGCGAAAGUGUGGGGAGCAAACAGGAUUAGAUACCCUGGUAGUCCACACCGUAAACGAUGGGAGCUAGUUGUUGGCAGGCAUGCCUGUCGGUGACGCAGCUAACGCAUUAAGCUCUCGCCUGGGGAGUACGCCGCAAGUUAAAACUCAAAGAAAUUGACGGGGGCCCGCACAAGCGGUGGA
rnacentral:rRNA from 1 species